GACGAACCGUGCGAACGUUAUUCGGAAUCACUGGGCUUAAAGCGCGUGUAGGCGGGAGGGCACGUCGGUCGCUGAAAUCCCCCGGCUCAACCGGGGAAGUGGCGCCGAUACGACCUUCCUGGAGGAACGUAGGGGGACCUGGAACUUCCGGUGGAGCGGUGAAAUGCGUUGAGAUCGGAAGGAACGCCCGUGGCGAAAGCGGCGUGCUGGACCUCUUCUGACGCUGAGGCGCGAAAGCCAGGGGAGCAAACGGG
rnacentral:rRNA from 1 species